AGAGACGCUGGCGGCGUGCUUAACCAUGCAAGUCGAACGGUAAGGCCCCUUCGGGGGUACACGAGUGGCGAACGGGUGAGUAACACGUGAGUAACCUGCCCUUGACUCUGGGAUAACAGCUGGAAACAGCUGCUAAUACCGGAUACGAACCUCUUAGGCAUCUUCGAGGUUGGAAAGUUCCGGCGGUCAAGGAUGGACUCGCGGCCUAUCAGCUUGUUGGUGAGGUAACGGCUCACCAAGGCGACGACGGGUAGCCGGCCUGAGAGGGCGACCGGCCACAUUGGGACUGAGAUACGGCCCAAACUCCUACGGGAGGCAGCAGUGGGGAAUAUUGCACAAUGGGCGAAAGCCUGAUGCAGCAACGCCGCGUGCGGGAAGACGGCCUUCGGGUUGUAAACCGCUUUCAGUAGGGACGAAGCUAACGUGACGGUACCUACAGAAGAAGCACCGGCUAACUACGUGCCAGCUGCCGCGGUGAUACGUAGGGUGCGAGCGUUGUCCGGAAUUAUUGGGCGUAAAGAGCUUGUAAGCGGUUUGUCACGUCGGGAGUGAAAACUCCGGGCUUAACCCCCAGCCUGCUUCCGAUACGGGGCUGACUUGAGGAAGGUAGGGGGAGAAUGGAAUUCCUGGUGAAGCGGUGGAAUGCGUAGAUAUCAGGAGGAACACCAGUGGCGAAGGGCGGUUCUCUGACCUUUCCUGACGCUGAGAAGCGAAAGCGUGGGGAGCAAACAGGCUUAGAUACCCUGGUAGUCCACGCCGUAAACGGUGGGUACUAGGUGUGGGGAACAUUCCACGUUCUCCGUGCCGCAGCUAACGCAUUAAGUACCCCGCCUGGGGAGUACGGCCGCAAGGCUAAAACUCAAAGGAAUUGACGGGGCCCCGCACAAGCGGCGGAGCAUGCGGAUUAAUUCGAUGCAACGCGAAGAACCUUACCUGGGUUUGACAUAUACCGGAAACAUCUAGAGAUAGGUGCCCCUUUUUGGUCGGUAUACAGGUGGUGCAUGGCUGUCGUCAGCUCGUGUCGUGAGAUGUUGGGUUAAGUCCCGCAACGAGCGCAACCCUCGUCCUAUGUUGCCAGCGGAUAAUGCCGGGGACUCAUAGGAGACCGCCGGGGUCAACUCGGAGGAAGGUGGGGAUGACGUCAAGUCAUCAUGCCCCUUAUGUCCAGGGCUUCACGCAUGCUACAAUGGCCGGUACAAAGAGCUGCGAACCUGCAAGGGUGAGCGAAUCUCAAAAAGCCGGUCUCAGUUCGGAUUGGGGUCUGCAACUCGACCCCAUGAAGUCGGAGUCGCUAGUAAUCGCAGAUCAGCAACGCUGCGGUGAAUACGUUCCCGGGGCUUGUACACACCGCCCGUCAAGUCAUGAAAGUCGGUAACACCCGAAGCCAGUGGCCUAACCCUUUGGGAGGGAGCUGUCGAAGGUGGGACCGGUAAUUAGGACUAAGUCGUAACAAGGUAGCCGUACCGGAAGGUACUC
rnacentral:rRNA from 1 species